GAUGAACGCUGGCGGCGUGCCUAAUACAUGCAAGUCGAGCGAACAGACGAGUAGGUUGCUCCUCUGACGUUAGCGGCGGACGUGUGAGUAACACGUUGAGAACCGACCUAUGGGACUGGGAUAGGUUCGUGAAACCAGUACUAGUACCGGAUAAUAUAUUGAACGUCAGGGGUCAAGAUUUAAAGACGUUUUUUCUGUCACCUAUAGAUGGAUCUGCGCGGCAUUAGCUAGUUGGUAAGGUAAUCGCUUACCAAGGCAACUAUGCGUAGACGACCGGAGAGGCUGAUAGGCCACCCGGGAAGUGAGACAGCGACAAGACUCCUAAGGGACGCAGCAGUAGGGAACGGUCCGCAACGGGCGAAAGCAUUACGGAGCAACGGCGAGUGAGUGAUGACGGUCUCCGGAUCGUAAAACUCUGUUACUAGGGAAGAACAACUGUGUAAGUAACUAUGCACGUCUUGACGGUAACUAAUAAGAAAGCCACGGCUAACUAUGUG
rnacentral:rRNA from 1 species